rnacentral:rRNA from 1 species
UUUGAUGGCGACCGGCGCACGGGUGAGUAACACGUAUCCAACCUGCCGAUGACUCGGGGAUAGCCUUUCGAAAGAAAGAUUAAUACCCGAUGGCAUAGUUCUUCCGCAUGGUAGAACUAUUAAAGAAUUUCGGUCAUCGAUGGGGAUGCGUUCCAUUAGGUUGUUGGCGGGGUAACGGCCCACCAAGCCUUCGAUGGAUAGGGGUUCUGAGGGGAAGGUCCCCCACAUUGGAACUGAGACACGGUCCAA